rnacentral:hammerhead_ribozyme from 1 species
AUCCAGCUGACGCGUGUCACAUAGGACGAAAUGCGCGUCUUUGAU